rnacentral:rRNA from 1 species
ACAUGGAUACAACAUAGCACUAAUGCAUUGAAUCCCAUUAGAACUUCAUAGUUAAGUGUUCUCAAGCUAGAGUAGUACUGGGAUGAGUGACUGCCCAAGAAGUCCUAGUGUUUUACAUGCC